rnacentral:rRNA from 1 species
UACGGGAGGCAGCAGUGGGGAAUAUUGCACAAUGGGGAAAACCCUGAUGCAGAGACGCCGCGUGAGGGAAGACGGCCCUUCGGGUUGUAAACCUCUGUCUUGGGGGACGAAUAAAUGACGGUACCCGAGGAGGAAGCCACGGCUAACUACGUGCCAGCAGCCGCGGUAAUACGUAGGUGGCAAGCGUUGUCCGGAAUUACUGGGUGUAAAGGGAGCGUAGGCGGGGAGGCAAGUUGAAUGUCUAAACUAUCGGCUCAACUGAUAGUCGCGUUCAAAACUGCCACUCUUGAGUGCAGUAGAGGUAGGCGGAAUUCCUAGUGUAGCGGUGAAAUGCGUAGAUAUUAGGAGGAACACCAGUGGCGAAGGCGGCCUACUGGGCUGUAACUGACGCUGAGGCUCGAAAGCGUGGGUAGUAACCAGGAUUAGAUACCCUGGUAGUCCAUGCCGUAAACGAUGAUUACUAGGUGUGGGGGGACUGACCCCUGGCCGUGCCGGAGUAACACAAUAA